CGCCUGGCUACAAAAGUGCGGUGCAGCGCGUACGCUCACAUUCGUUCUCCGCCACUGCAGCUACGCACAACUCCCACCUCACACCAUGGUACGCGCGACGACGUUGCUUAUUUUGGCGGUGGUGGCUGCCGUGCUGUCUGUCUCGUGGGCUGCUGUGGUGGGCCCGUCCAUCGACAUUGGACCUAAACCCAGUCGACCACCUUACCAGCCAGGACCGUGGGUCUACCCCAAGCCCACGACGGCCAGAACUGGACGAUGAUGACUUGGACUUCCGCCAAGCCACUCGCCCUUCCAACUUACUCCACUUCCCUACACUCAAUAACUGCAAUCGCAUCACACUGUGAUUGCUUUCACGUCAACUCACUGUUUCAGACGAUAGUCCUGUAUAGUGGAUGAAUGCCAACAGAAACAUUUCCAUUUCACUUGCACCAUCACUUCUCAUACGAAUAUUAAAGACUUUUAUUUGUUAGCUUAUGUAAAUAAAAAUAUUGUUUAAUGCUCUUCA